rnacentral:rRNA from 1 species
AUUGAACGCUGGCGGCAGGCCUAACACAUGCAAGUCGAGCGGAUGACGGGAGCUUGCUCCUUGAUUCAGCGGCGGACGGGUGAGUAAUGCCUAGGAAUCUGCCUGGUAGUGGGGGACAACGUUUCGAAAGGAACGCUAAUACCGCAUACGUCCUACGGGAGAAAGCAGGGGACCUUCGGGCCUUGCGCUAUCAGAUGAGCCUAGGUCGGAUUAGCUUGUUGGUGUGGUAAUGGCUCACCAAGGCGACGAUCCGUAACUGGUCUGAGAGGAUGAUCAGUCACACUGGAACUGAGACACGGUCCAGACUCCUACGGGAGGCAGCAGUGGGGAAUAUUGGACAAUGGGCGAAAGCCUGAUCCAGCCAUGCCGCGUGUGUGAAGAAGGUCUUCGGAUUGUAAAGCACUUUAAGUUGGGAGGAAGGGUAGUAGAUUAAUACGCUGCAAUUUUGACGUUACCGACAGAAUAAGCACCGGCUAACUCUGUG